GACGAACGCUGGCGGCGUGCCUAAUACAUGCAAGUCGAGCGGAUGACGGAGGAGCUUGCUCCUCCUGAUUCAGCGGCGGACGGGUGAGUAACACGUGGGCAACCUGCCCUGUAGAUUGGGAUAACUCCGGGAAACCGGGGCUAAUACCGAAUAAUCCUUCGGACCUCAUGGUCCGAUGUUGAAAGACGGUUUCGGCUGUCACUACAGGAUGGGCCCGCGGCGGAUUAGCUAGUUGGUGAGGUAACGGCUCACCAAGGCCACGAUGCGUAGCCGACCUGAGAGGGUGAUCGGCCACACUGGGACUGAGACACGGCCCAGACUCCUACGGGAGGCAGCAGUAGGGAAUCUUCCACAAUGGACGAAAGUCUGAUGGAGCAACGCCGCGUGAGUGAAGAAGGUUCUCGGAUCGUAAAACUCUGUUGUGGGGGAAGAACAAGUACCGGAGUAACUGCCGGUGCCUUGACGGUACCUCAUUAGAAAGCCACGGCUAACUACGUGCCAGCCGCCGCGGUAA
rnacentral:rRNA from 1 species